rnacentral:rRNA from 1 species
UACGAAGGGGGCUAGCGUUGCUCGGAAUCACUGGGCGUAAAGGGUGCGUAGGCGGGGCUUUAAGUCAGAGGUGAAAUCCUGGAGCUCAACUCCAGAACUGCCUUUGAUACUGAGGAUCUUGAGUUCGGGAGAGGUGAGUGGAACUGCGAGUGUCGAGGUGAAAUUCGUAGAUAUUCGCAAGAACACCAGUGGCGAAGGCGGCUCACUGGCCCGAUACUGACGCUGAGGCACGAAAGCGUGGGGAGCAAACAGG